CGUGUAGGCGGUAUGGUAAGUCGGAUGUGAAAGCCCUGGGCUCAACCCAGGAAGUGCAUUCGAUACUGCCAUUCUUGAGUAUGGGAGAGGAGAGUGGAAUUCCCAGUGUAGAGGUGAAAUUCGUAGAUAUUGGGAGGAACACCCGUGGCGAAGGCGACUCUCUGGACCAAUACUGACGCUGAGACGCGAAAGCGUGGGGAGCAAACA
rnacentral:rRNA from 1 species